ACAGUGGUGGAAAGAAGGGAGCUUAGCGUGUGAGGCUGAGCUCAGUCUUGGGGCUGACUGACUCCUGAGAAAGAGAAGGAGAUGGAGGAGGAAGAAGAGGAGGAGGAGGAUGAAAAAGAAGAGGACGAGGAGAAAGAAAGGAAAAGUGUUUAGCAGCAGAAAGGCAGCACUCACUUUCAGGGAGGUGAUCAAGGCUUUGCCCAACCAGCAGGUUGCAGAGGCUCUGUGUGAACAGACUGGACAGCUUCUUCCGUGCAAAGAGCUGUGUAGUGGAAGGAUGGUCUCCAGCCUGCAGCAUGCUGUGCCGUGAUGGGUGAGAGACCCCUCCUAGGACCUGACCUACUGCCCCAUCACCUCCUUAGCUCUCCAGUUCCCUGGCUCUGAACUCCACACCGAGCUCCACCAUUUUUGCUUCAUUUGUUUACCAACCAGGGCCUCUCUGCUUGCUCUGGGCUCUUAACAGGCAAUGGAGGAGUCUUCUAUAGCAUCCUCUGGGAUUUUCUUCGAUAAGACUUCCGAUUUUGACUGUGAGUUCCCUUAGGGAAAGAUUCAAGGCCUUGUCCAGCUCUGCAUCCGCAGAACAGGAUUUAAGUACAUCAGAUCCCCAUGGAUGGAGAAAGGGAGUGAGAAAAUCAGGAAAGGCUGAAGAUCUAUCGUUGUGUGGUUUUAAAAGCUGUGGCAGCCAGCCUCCCAGAUGGCCUCUCCUGAUAACCACUUCUGGUCUUCGCACCCUUUUGUAGUCGCCUGUCUCCCUCACUCAGGGCAGCGCCCAUGACUAACAGGACAUGGUGAAUGGGUGACUUGCAAGGUUAAAUCAUAAAAGCUCUGCAGCCUCUGCCUUGACCAUGUGGAGCAAAGCCAGCUGCCAUGCUGUGAAGACACUCAGCAGCCCUGCUAGAGAGGCUCAGGCAGAGAAAAGACAAAGCCACCUUCCUCACACCCACAUGAACUAGCCAGCCAUGUGAAUGAGCCACCUGAGAAGUGGGUCCACCAGCCAACGUGUCAGAUGACAGCUGCUAUCACAUUCUGAUUGCACCUAACCAGGACUCUGAGCUUGCAAAUGCCCAGCCAAGAUGCUCCAAGCUCCUGACCCACAAAUACCGUGAAGAGGAGCCCUGACUUUUGUUGCUCUAAGCCAUUAUAUUUAAUCCUGGGUGAUUUAUUAUAGAAACAAUUAUAAAAAGGAAGGGAAAAUGCCUUUCAACAGUGCCACAGAGGCGUUGGACUUGCCUAUCUUUUGACACAACCCUGACAGUGUUAGAAGCAGUGGGCAGGGGGAGGGAAGGUGGGACAGGGAACCUUGACUGAGAAGUUGAAGAGUUCAUAAGGGCAUGCAGGGGCUUGGCCAAGGGAGGACACAGUGAGCACGCUCAGUGCCAGGAUGAAUAGGGUGCAAGUCAAGGAGGGUGAGGGUAAUCAUCCACCUCUAAAGGGGGAGUAAUAAGUUGGGGAGCUUUGCAGAGACUCCUGGUCUUUUUGAGAGGCUAGGAGAAACCGUGAACAGUCUUGGGACACAUUCAGUGACUAAGCCCCAAGCUUCUCCAUGCUGCUGUGACCCACACCCUAGACACUGCCUUGGAGCGGGUGCCCCCUUCCACGUGCUAGAGGCAGUGGGGCCCUUCGUCUCAGCUUUCAUGGUGUCAGUUAUACAGGGGAAAGCUGAGGGAGAGCAGUACUGCAGGCUGUCAGGUGCUCAGAGAGCUUCUGGGAAAGGGGGUCACGGUUCUUGUCUUGGAGACACCAGCUGGGGAGGCAAGUGUACUGAUGCACAAUGGCACAGAAGUGUGCACACACAGUCAGGGAGGGGUGGUGAGGAAGGCUUCGUGCAGGAGGAGCUGCAAGAUUUCACCGAUGAAGUAGGGAUGGACAGACAGACACCAAGUUAUAGCAGUUUCCAAGCUCCUGGUCUGGUGCUCUGCACCCCACCCACUAGUACAUGACCUGGAGCAACUCAUUCAUACCUCUCUGGUUUGCUGGGGGCUCAGCUGUGAAAUGGCUUGGCCUAAAUCUAUCCUGCUAAAGGGGUCACAGCAUCAGCCAUCAGGAGCUUUGACUACAACUGAUAUUCUCUUAAGUGUGGGAAAUUUGAGCAGAAUGUUGCAAAUACUAUUUCGCAGGUGAGACUAUGUCACUGUGUUACCUGUGACUACUAUGUCUCAGCCUCAGUUUCUUUAAUAUGUCUCAGGAAACUGGAGAUAAUGUCUAACUUGCAGAUAUUUUCUCCUAAAUUAUGAACAUGUUAGGCAGUAAUGGGUGCCUCCAAAUAGGAACUAGCAUUAUUUCUAGCACUAUUCCUCGUCUGCAGAUGGGUCUUCCCAAUGGGCAGAGCUGGAUCCUUUGUGGGCUGGAAAGGGAUCUCAGGUGAAUGGCUCUCCCCUGUUCCAACAGCAGAUAAGGGAUGAGGAGGGCUGGGGGAGGGUCCAACAAGGGUUCAUCAAUGGUAGUGAAAGGAAUUUGGAUCUGAUACUUGGAUUUGAAUCUGGAUCUGUACAGAGAAGACUGUGUGCCCUUGGGCAUGACAUUUACCUUCCUUGAGCCUCAAUGCUGUCACUUGUAAAACGUGGAUAAAUCUCUCCCUCCCAGGCUUUUGGUGAAGACUGCAGAUAAUGCAGGCAAAGCAAUUGGUGCUGAGGACAAGGGAGGUGGAAUUAUAAUCACAUCUAGAAAGCAGCUGAGCUGGCUCCACGCACUGCACUGUGCUGAUUUACUAGGCUCCAUGCAAUGCGCCACGCAGAGCUACUAGGCUCACGGUCACAGAUCAGCAAAGGAAAGGAUCUCGGAAAUGACCCAGUUCAGCUCCCAUACCUGGACAGAACGGGUGACACAGAGGCAUUAUCUGGAACCUGCAUGACUGUCUCCUGUAACUAUGAGGGAAGGAUUCAAGCCCUACCUGGAGGUUGGCCAGGAAGCCCAGAAAUUCCCCCAGCAGGUCCAGGUUUAGGGACAGAAGGCAGCAGGGCCAAGCCUCAUCCACAUAGGCUCAAAGGACUUCACCGGACUGUCCUCUUGUCCCUGCUACAGCUGACAUUUUGUCUUAUUUGACCCUUGCAAUAGCCUGUGAGAGCCUCCUCUCUGCAGAGGAGGGAAACUGAGACUCAGAACUCACUCAAGGCCACACCCCCGGUGGAUAAGUGUGGUCAGAGGGGCCCAAAGCCCCUUGACUCACUGGUCCAAGGCAAGGAGCCUGAGGUGCUGUGCUGGCAGGACCUACUGGUCCCCAAGUCCUGUGCUCAGGUCUUUAUCAUCUAUCGCCCAUCACCCAUCACACAAGGACUGGCCUGCAGCCAAGUAGGGGACUAGAAACAAGGGCUUGAGGCUGAGAAACAGCCUUAAACCAGAUGCCAGGGGGGAGUCGGCCCAGACAGUGGGCUUUCUGCGGGAGAACCUAAAAGAUUAAUCAAACAGCAAGAUCUCUCAGGAGCACAAGGGCACCGGAGAAGGCGGCCGGCACCGAGGUCUGGCGCCGGCAGAUGGACAAGAAAGCAUGUUGAUAAUUUAUUAAAGAUUCAGAGUUUUUACUGGAGAGAAGAGUUGUGAGCAGGAAAGUGUGGCUUGGGGGAGGUGCUCCACACUGGCUCCCUGAAACCAGGAGGAAGUGGGGGGGAGGGUAUUUGCAGUGUGGGAAACAGCAGUUCCUGAACAGCAUACUGCUGGUUUCUUAGUUUUAUUCUUUCCUUUUCCUUUUCCAAGAAAGACUCAGCAACAUCUCAAUUUCCCCAAGGUGGGGUGUAAUGUAUCUCCUGGAUGCUCAGCCUCUGGGGUGUCCAGUGUCACUGGCUUGAGCUUCCGGGGUGGUAUUUGAGAUCCAACCUCGAGGCCUGAUGGGGCAGGGGUGAGUCCCUCUCUCCUCUCCCCAUUUGCCAUCUCCUGCACCCAAAUAUGUGGCAACUUGGGUACAUUCAAAAGCUCAGGGACCAUCACUGUCAGUGAUUGCAGUAAUGUGUUUCUUAUUUUUUUCUUUUUAUCAGUACCGGGGAUCGAACUCACGACUGCCUGUUUGCAAGGCAGGUACUUAUGACACUGAGCUAAAUCCCCAGCCCCUAGUAAUGUGAUUAUGUAUACAAUGCCUUUUAUUUUAUUCCCCAAGCUUAUAAAAUACUACAGCAGCCUAUACGGAAGAUGAUUAUCAUGGCCACUUCCAUUUUAUCAAUAAGCAAUAAAGGCUCCGGGUGGUCCCACUGCUUGAUGGUCCUGGCAGGAGCCAGGGCUGGGGCUGGGACCCUGGCUCUCUGUCUAUAAGACACAUGGCCCUCCUGUCACUGCAUGCUAUCCCCAAACCUGAGAACAAGGCAUAACUUUCCUGGUUUACAGUGAUGACUAUAUCCACCCCAUAGAAUGUGUCUAAAUUCCUACCUGUUGAAGCCUCACUGCCAAGUACUGUACUGAGCUCCUGGCAUAUUUAAAGUUCACAAGAGUCCUGUGAGGUGGUCACUGCUUUACAGAGUCACUGCUGAGGAGACUGAGGACCACAGAGACUAAGUGGCCUCUGAAGCUCAUGAAGGAGUGUAGAGUCCAGGCCUGCUGGACCCAGGGUUAGAGCCCCGUACUGUAACACCCUCAUGUGAGCCCUGCCCUGCCGUUACCCAGGUCUACUACACAGGCUCCCUGUGGUACUGUGGCACCAAUGGGCCCAUGUUCAAAUUACAUUGCAGAGUAGCAAUUUCUACUGAGCUCUAGAAACCACAGGGACUUGCCCAGAGAGACAAGCUGCCACUCUUGAGUGGUGACAGAAAGAUGAGGAAACUGCUGGCUGAGACACUCAGGGGACAUUCUAACAGGGGCUCCCACAGAGUGUACUGGAGCCUUCAGGACAGGAAGAUGCAUCUCAGGGAAUGCGCUGGGUGGGCCAGUUCCUGAAGGUCUGUCCCUAAACAGAACGUGGGAUUUCCUCCCAGGUCCUGUACACCCAGAGCACACUGCAAAGGUCAAACCCAGGCUGAGGUCGUGGAUAAGUUAUCUCCUCCAUAUGCUCUAUUUCCCUAAACCCCAUAGCCAGUGAGGCAAAAGGAAGCACAGACCUAAGACAUCCAGGGGAGAUGAUCUUCCGGGGAGACAGUACCUUGUCCCCAAAGGAGUAGUACUCUGUAGAUUCCCCUACCCCUUCUGACUACAUCUCUCUCUGUGUUAAUAGCUCAGAAGAAGCCUCAAAUGAUUCUUCCACGUUCUCCCUUCCUUCUUGGCCAGACGUGUCCAACGUAACGCUGAUUUAUGUGCAAAAGAUAUGUAGAGGGAGCUCUUGGCUCAGUUCUUGGUUCUCCCAGGACAGGGGACAGUGAACUUGCUAUGCGCUUUCAGAAUCACAGACUACACUGUUUUGGAGCUGAGAACAUCUAAUCCAUCCCAGGCUCUGUUCUUAUAUAAGGAUACCUGCUCUCAGCUAGAAGAAAAUGGAAUAUGAAAAAAAAUAUAUAAAAUGCCAACUCUAUGACUGACCCCUAGGUUCGCAUGAACUCAUCUCUUCAGAAGAGAAAAACUAAGCAAUUUGACAACUGUAAAAUCAGAAAUUCCUUUUAAUCUCAUUUCAUGGGCAACACUGAUACACUGGAAGGCAUGAAAUUUUUAUUUCAUGUCAAUUUCACUGGGAUUUCACAUGCAGAUUAAUUUGUUCUUCCACAUAAACAUAUACUGCUCCAACUUCUUGCCUCAAUAGCCACCUUCUCUCACUCGUGUUAUAGAAUUCCUGUCUCUUACAAGACCCUAAAAGUAAUACUGAGAUUUGCUACCCCAUUACAAUGCCUCAUUCUAUAUUAUUAAAUUCUAGUACACUCAGAAAGCAAUAAGCAGGCUAGUGCAGGAAAGUAAACUUUUUUUUUCUUUUGGUACUGGGGAUCGAGCUUAUGACCUUGCACUUACCAGGCAGACACUUAUGCCACUGAGCUAAAUCCCUGGCCCUAGAAAGUAAACUUCUUAGAAAUUUAGUUGGGCACUGUGGUGGGCAGGUUGAAAGAUGGCUCAGAAUCCUCACCUUCUCUUGAGCAUGGAUGAGCCUGGUGACUUUCUUCUAAGGAACAGAAUAUGGCUAAAGUGGUGGAAUAUCACUAGUGCGUGGAACAGUACUAGAGAUUAAACACAGGGCUUUCACAUUGAACUAUAAUCACAACCCUUUUUAGUUUUGUUUUCUUGGUUUGUUUGUUUUUUAAUUCUGAAACAGGAUAUACUAAGUCACUAAGUUGCCAAGGUGGGGCUUGAAUUUGUGAUUCUCCUGCCUCAGCUUCCCAGAGUGUCACUUUUGUGAUUAGAUUGCACAAGACUGGCUUGCACACCUUGAUUAAGCAAGCUGCCACAUUGGCCAGCUUCCCCAUUCCCAUUCAAAGAACUGAAUCACACUGAAAGCCACAUGAGCAAGCUUGGAACAGGAUCUUCUCCCAUUCAGGCCCUAGGAUGAAUUUGGCUCCAAAUGAGUCCUUGAUAGGACAGACUCCUGUGCCAUGCCAGGGCUCCAAGCACAGAACUCACCUAUGCCAUGCCAGGGUUCCUGACCUACAGCAACCAUGAGAUGACAAAUGACGAAUUUUAAAGCACUAACUUGCUUAGGAUAACUUGCUUAUACACUAAUAAAUGAAAAGGACAGGCACUUAGGUACCUAAAAAUGUCCAGCAGAGUUUCUCACUCCUCUGGGUGAAAGGCAAUUCCCUUGGUACUAUACUUACCAAAAGAGCCAUGCAACCGAUCCCUAACUCCUAAUCCCCUCUUCUCCAUCACACUGUGGUCCCAGAGCCUCACGGGACCCUUUAUCUCCAUUCUGCUGGCCUCUAUUCACAAGAUGAUGACACUAAGGGGUCCUGGAGCUCCUAAUCCAGAGGGAAGUUACUACCUGAGUGAUUACUUUCUCAUUUCUCCCAAGGAUGUUAUCUGACUAGGGCCAUUCACAUGCAUAGGAAAGGAGUUGAUUUGUUUCACACAAUAGGUGUCCUGUGACUGUAGGGCUGAAGUUUCUUGCAGAAACCCAGUUAAGAAAGGUCAUCUUAGAAGCUACCACAGACAUUCCUCUCUUUCCAGAGCACCAUGUCAUGGCCAGGACACUUGGUCUCAGUGUGGGCCUAUUAAGGCCACCAUAUGCAAUCCCUUGCACCUAACCACCAUCACAGUUGUGGUUGAGUCUCUGUCAAAUGAACCAGCUCAGGGUCUGUGAUUCACUUCUUGCUUGGAAGUGAAUCUUCCUUGGAGAAUCCUUUCUGGACUUUUUUUCAGCUUUAGUAACAUGGGAUUUUUAAGAAAACCUACAACUUGACACUUUUAAACCACUUAUGCUGUUUGAUUAAUUGUAAGUUAUAGAUCAAAUGGUGGCCCCAGAAGUCAGUAAGUCUUUUCUUUUGGCAGUGUUAGAAUGCCCAUUGGGGUCUGUCCUGACAAACUAGGACUAGGAAAGGGGUACAUUAUGUGAGACUAUACUGUCCAGUUUUUCUUAAAAAUUCAAUCUCUGGGUCUUACUUUUGGACUGCCAUCAGCUUGAGGACACUCCUCCUUGCCUUCCAACAAAGUCCUAGGUAGCUGCAAUGAACUGCAAGGACAGCUGAGUCUCCUCCAUGGGUGAUGUCUAUGCAUACUUGGUGAAAAACUAAAAAAGGUUCAAAUAAGUUUGGUAAAUGAGAAAUACUAGAUAAAUAUUGCAUUAGCACCCUUUUUGAUGAUUCACCACUGCACGAGCCUGUUAAAGGUUUUAAGAGUUCUUCUAGCCUACUAUUUACCAAACGUCCAUCUCAAAACCUGCCCUAUCCUUUUCUCUAAACUUUUUUCUUCUUUCUAGAACACAAUCCUUCAUACUGCAUGAGAACUCAAAUACUUACUGCGAUAUUACACAUUUAGUGAAAUAAUACAUAUUCUACCAGACAGAACCAUGAUUAGAGAAGACGGGCACCAGUUGCUUCCUUUUUUAUACAUGAGGUAAACCAGGGGCCAGCACAGCGAACUGCCUGCCCAAGGCCAACUUCUAGCAGCAGAGCUAAACUCUCUUUGAUCUUAGCAAAUGAACUCACUCAGUUUCCUUGAGGCACUCGGACAAAGAGGCCCCAGCUUCCAGACCCAGCCCACCCAACAUGAUGAGCCAUCACUGCAUUCAUGUGGCCUCUGCCUGCCACAAUACUCCAAGCAAGGACUCUAUAGCUUCUCCAUAUUGUCACAUCUAUUAGAAAUUGUGUGGCCUUUAUCUUUGCAUUAACAGCCCCACAUUUCAUGAAGUGCUCAGCUCAGUCUCUGACCCUGGUGAGGUAAUCCAGCACAGCCAGCCUCUUCUUAGGCUCUUUUGGAUUUUCCUUAUCUUCCCUCAUCCUAAAUUCUGUUAUUCCCACCACUAUCUCCUAGGUCAUUCUCUCUCAGUCCUUCUUCUUUCUGGAUCAUCUUACUUGUCUCCAAAGCUUCAGUUUCCCCAUGUGCUUGCUAAUGACCCCAGCGCUGAAGCGCAUCUGGAUGAACAUUUUCUCCUGAAUGUACCUAUGAAUGAUUUCUUCACCCGUCUUCUGCUUCUGUGUCUGCAGUUAGCACCCAAGACUGCUAACUGCUGACCCUCUGAGGAUGUUUCUCUACAUUCCCAACAUGUCUUUUCUAAAUAAUUGCAGCAACUUCCUAACUAGCUUUAUCCCUUUCCAAUCUAUGCUGGGCACUGUAGCUAGCAUGAUUUCUCUAAAACUGCGUCUUUUAUACCUUUCAAGUCUGCUGAACCGAUCACAAAACAAAGUUGAGAUUCCUAGUCAUGGCUUAGACUAAAAGGCCCUUUUCCCCCCGGCCUGCCAUUCCCUCUAAACUCUAGCCACAUUCUGCUUGACUUGCUCUUUGUCUCUUCUGGAUUCGGUAGGUAUCAUCUCUUUCCCAUGUAUCCCUGUGAUGGCUAAUCUUAAUUUUCAACUUGAAUGGGUUGAAAGUCACCCAGGAAAUUAGUAAUGCAUGCUCCUGGGUCUGUGUGGGGGAGCCCUGGGUCUGGAGAAGGCGUCUGGUCCCUGGCCCCUUCCUCUUGGAUUGUUCUUCCCUGUUCUGUGAUUCUUGUCUGUCAUGAGUUGGGCAGCUUUCUUCUGCCAUGCCAUUGGAUCUAGCUAAGCAUGGAAUAAAACCUCUGAAAUUGUGAGUUAAAAUAAACCUUUUCCCCUUUAAGUGGUGCAUGUCAGGUAUUUUGGUCACAGUGAUGGAGAAUAUACUAAUACAGCCUGAAAUACGCUCUCUGAAACCUAGCUAUUUUUUCCACUUCUAACUUUGACUUAGAAGUUACAUCCCAUGGGGAGCAUUUCUUGACCUCCCAAGGCCUUUCCAGUGCACCUCUUUGGGCUAUGCAUUCACUCCACUACUGCAAUGUAUUACCCACUGCUGGAAAAUCACUUUUCUGUCUUCUCUACUGACUGCUGCUACAAUGAAAGCAAAGACUUAUUUAUAGUUUUAACCCCAGUGUCUACGUCGGUGACUAAACACAGGAGACACAUGACAGACAUCUGAAGAAUGAACGGAUGGAUAAAUGGGCCAGAAUCAGGUGAGGUUUCCAUGAGACAGAAGGGACAAACUCCUUGGCCAAGGUAUUGGCAACGCAAGCACAAGGGCGCUGUAGUUAGCAAAAAUCAAGGUCCAGAAUGCAGUAAAAAGAAGUUUAGACAAAUAAGUAGAGCAGAAGAAGAGCCUAGAAGCUGAUUUAGGGAGAAAGGGUGGGGGAGCACAGGGAAAUCUGGCCUAAGGUGGUGCUAGGAUGACAUUCUGGAUUAUGUUUGGUGUCUUUGGAGUGAUUUUAACUUCUGUUACUCCAGAAAUAUUCAGCUAAGUUUAAAAGCUUGCAUGCUUUUCUUCUUUACCAAAGUCCUGUGAAAGAUGAGCAGCACCUCCCAACUAGUCAGAAGGGCUAAAUCUCAUUUGACUAUGGCUCAGAGACUUCCACACAGGCACUCCUACACGGCAGCCCCUGGCCUCAUGUUGCUACUGAGCAUUUGCAGUAUGUCCAGACUUAAUGGAGAUAGACAGUAGGUGUAAACUGUAUGCAAGAUUUCAUGGACUUUGUAUGGCAAGGAAUGUAAAAUAUUUCACAAGUCUGUUUUCACACUAAUUACAUGUGGAAAUGAUAAUAUUCAGAUAUAUUGGAGUAAUCAAGAUAGAUCAUUACAUUUUACUUGCUUCUUUGGGUUUUUUUAAAACACGGUUUCUAGAAAAUUUUUAGUAUCUCUGCUGGACAUCAUUGUCCUACAGGGGUUACUUAACUUUAAUUUGCAUAUUAUUCAAUUUAAAAUGUCAACUUCAGUGUUAGACAAUGGUCUCCACGUGUUGGAUUCUUUUGCAUGAAUAAAACAAAAAUGUUAUAGAA